rnacentral:rRNA from 1 species
GCCCCUAGCUAUCACACAAGUAUUAGGGGUAAUGCCUGCCCAGUGACACUGUUAAACGGCCGCGGUAUCCUAACCGUGCAAAGGUAGCAUAAUCACUUGUCUUUUAAAUAAAGACUGGAAUGAAUGGCCAAACGAGGUUCUACCUGUCUCUUACAAGCAAUCAGUGAAAUUGAUCUUCCCGUGCAAAAGCAGGAAUAAAAUUAUAAGACGAGAAGACCCUGUGGAACUUCAAAUACAAGUCAACUAUCACAAACACCACCCCCACGGACUCACAUCCACUAGCACUUGACUUAUAUUUUUCGGUUGGGGCGACCUCGGAGCAAAACAAAACCUCCGAAAAAAGAACUACAUCUAAACCUAGACUAUACAACUCAAAGUGCCAUCGGCAAAAUGAUCCAAAUAUUUGAUCAACGAACCAAGCUACCCCAGGGAUAACAGCGCAAUCCCGUCCUAGAGUCCCUAUCGACGACGGGGUUUACGACCUCGAUGUUGGAUCAGGACAUCCUGAUGGUGCAGCCGCUAUCAAGGGUUCGUUUGUUCAACGAUUAAUAGUCCUACGUGA